UAGAAAACGGUACUGGCUGCUAUUGAUCACGUGAUAUGCUAAUUUAUGGACGUAGGCGGAGUCAAGUCACAGUUAAACGACAACCCCAAAGAAAAAUAAUUUCCAUCCAAUUCACCCAACAAUUAAUGAUCAUGAGUUCGUUUUUGAUGAACUCUCCUCCAUAUGUGGAUCCGAAAUUUCCACCAAGUGAAGAAUACUAUCAAGCAAACUACAUUCCAAGUCAGCGAGGGGACUAUUACAAUCCGCCAAGUCAUCCCUAUCGCUAUAGCGGCGUCAACAGUCAGCACGCGCCAGUGAGUUAUGGCCACGAGCACAGCGGUGCCAACGCAGCGUACACAAAUCAUGGAAGCCCUCCCCGUUACUACCAGCCGCCGUGUUCUCUACCACAAAACUCACUCCACAGACCAACAAUUUUGAGCCCUUCAGUUGACCAUGUACCACUAACCAAUAGUCCGAACCAUAUUUUACAGAGCCCACCGCAGCACCAUCAGAGAUCUCCGGUCUCUUCGCCGGUGCCGGCGCCAGUGCCGCCUGCAGUGUCUUGCAACACCCCACAGCCAACUUCCGAUCUACAAGCUCGCGUACCACACCAACAACAUAUUUCUCCUCAGCAGCAAAGUUUAAUAGAAACGACUCCGGACUGUGCUGUGUCAACGACGGGACAUCCGGUCAUCUAUCCUUGGAUGAAAAAAGUCCACAUCAAUGCAGUGGGAACCAAUGGAAAUUUCUCUCCCGGGGUUGAAACCAAAAGACAGCGGACGGCUUACACGAGACACCAGAUUUUGGAAUUGGAAAAAGAAUUUCAUUUUAACCGGUAUCUUACAAGGCGUCGACGGAUAGAAAUAGCUCAUUCGUUAUGUUUGUCAGAGAGACAGAUAAAAAUCUGGUUCCAAAACCGUCGGAUGAAGUGGAAGAAAGACAACAAGCUUCCUAAUACGAAGAAUGUGAAGAAAAGGAACCAAAACGUAGAACACCUGAACAACCAUACGCAACCAUUAGCUCCUGUAUCAAACCACACGCAACCAGAAGCGAGACUUCUUCCCCCAGCGCCAAGUCAGUCAAUUUCAAUGGACCCUAAACCUGAUUAUGGUUUGACCGAACUCUGAUAUUUUCUUAUGUGUGAAGAUCAUUCAUAAGCUGUGUAGUUCUUGACUAAAAUUUGGGCAGCAUUUUAUUAUGUUAAAUGUUGUUCAAGGCCCAGACUGUGGUGUAUGUGUGUGGAUGUGGUGUGCUUAAGCCUCGCGGUGAUUUAUGUAUAUGUGCAAAAAUGAUGAUGAGAAGCGUUUUUUAUUUACAAUGAUCUCUUAAGCGUCGUUAAGCUUUUUGGUGAGACUAACAGUCUUUCAUAUAACAAAAUGUGUCUCACAAAAGGAAAUGUAUUUAGACAGUUUAUAUGCCUGCUUGUACCCAGCUAGCUGUUCAUUGAACUUGUACAGAAAUCUGUGGUUUCAAGGAGAAAUCCCUAACAGGACUGUUCCGAUCGUUGCCUCCUUUUCGAUUUCACACUUCACAUGGAA
rnacentral:misc_RNA from 1 species